rnacentral:rRNA from 1 species
GACAGAGGGUGCAAACGUUGUUCGGAAUUACUGGGCGUAAAGCGCGUGUAGGCGGCUGCGCAAGUCGGAUGUGAAAUCCCAUGGCUCAACCAUGGAAGUGCACCCGAAACUGCGUAGCUAGAGUCUCGGAGAGGAAGGCGGAAUGCUUGGUGUAGAGGUGAAAUUCGUAGAUAUCAAGCGGAACACCGGUGGCGAAAGGCGGCCUUCUGGACGAUGACUGACGCUGAGACGCGAAAGCGUGGGGAGCAAACAGG